rnacentral:rRNA from 1 species
UACGAAGGGGGCUAGCGUUGCUCGGAUUGACUGGGCGUAAAGGGCGCGUAGGCGGUUCGUACAGUCAGACGUGAAAUUCCUGGGCUCAACCUGGGGGCUGCGUUUGAUACGUGCGGACUUGAGUGCGGAAGAGGGUCGUGGAAUUCCCAGUGUAGAGGUGAAAUUCGUAGAUAUUGGGAAGAACACCAGUGGCGAAGGCGAGUCCCUGGACAACUCCUGACACUGAGGCACGAAAGCUAGGGGAGCAAGCAGG